rnacentral:lncRNA from 1 species
UCUUUUCAAGUCAUGGCUUCUCUGGAUAAAUGCCCAAGAGUGGGAUUGCUGGAUCAAAUGCUAAUUCUAUUUUUAGUUUUCUGAGGAAUCUCCAUACUGUUUUCCACAGUGAUUGCACCAAUUUAUAUUCCUACCAACAGUAUAAGAGGGUUCCCUUUUCUCCACACCCUCUCCAGCACUUAUUGUUUGUAGACUUUUUGAUGAUGGCCAUUCUGGCAGGUGUAAGGUGAUACCUCAUAGUGGUUUUGAUUUUCAUUUUUCUAAUAAUUAGUGAUGCCAAACAUCUUUUCAUGUGUUUUUUGGCCAUCUGUAUAUCUUCUUUAGAGAAUUGUGUGUUUAGAUCUUCUGCCCAUUGUUUUGAUGGAGUUUUUUAUUUUUUUUUGGUAUUGAGCUGCAGAAGGUGGUUAUAAAUUUUGAUGAUUAAUCCCUUAUCAGUCGCUUCAUUUGCAAAUAUUUUCUCCCAUUCGGUGGGCUGUCUCUUUGUUUUGUUUAGAGUUUCCAUCUCUUCACGAUUUCAAAAAACGAAAAAGAAAUGUAGCUCUGAUUUGUUUAAUGUUGUUUCUUCUGACAAGAUAUAAAAGUCUUGAAAGCCUUGCUUCUACCAAGCAGUUUCUCAGUGUAAUCUGGCUUUGGGGCUAGUCCUCAGUCUGGCUCAAAUAAAACCCUUAUUUUGGAGUCGUGGCUCAGCGGUUAAUGAACCCAAAUAGCAUCCAUGGGGACAUGGGUUUGAUCCCUGGCCUCGUUCAGUCAGUUGAGGAUCCGGCCUUGCAGAGAGCUGUGGUGUUGGUCGCAGAUGCAGCUCAGAUCUGGCAUUGCUGUAGCUGUGGUGUAGGCCGGUUACUAUAGCUCUGAUUGGACCCCUAGCCUGGGAGCUCCAUGUGCUGUGGGGUGUUCCCCUAAAAGUCAAAAAGACAAAAAAAAAAAAAAAAAAAAAAAAAACUCUUAUCUAUUCUUAUUAUUGAUUGUUUUGUUUUCUUUUCUUUUUAGGUCCACAACUAUGGCAUAUAGAAGUUCCUGGGCUAGGAGUUGAAAAAAACUGCAGCUUGCAGCUGCCAGCCUAUGCCAUAGCCACAGCAAUACCAGAGGAUCCAAGCUACAUCCAUGACCUACAUGGCAGCUUGAGCCAAUGCUGGAUCCUUAACCCACUGAGUGAGGCCAGGGAUUGAACUCACAUUCUCAGGGACACUAUGUCAAAUUCUUAACUCACUGAGCCACAACUGGAACUCCUAUUGAUUGUUUAUUGAUUAUUUUCAUUAACAGUACUAAAUUUGAGCCACCAUUGUAAAAGAUUGUAAGAAUGCAAUGUGUUAGAAUGCAUUUUUUAAAAUAGGAGAAUCAAGUAGACUAAAAGUUAUUUCAAAGAAUAUGAACUAGCAAUUUAAAAUUACAUCUAGGAGUGAUAGGAGUCAGCAAAGAACAAACUCUUUUAAAAAUAAAUCUGUCAAUCUCAUGGCUAUAAUGACAAUUUGCUUUUGAACUGCCUUCUAAAGUUAGUUAAGGACUAUUAGAAAAAAUUAAAAUUUUACAAUGAUAAAUUGAAGUCUGAGCUAAAAUAUUUGUUUUUAAACAAGCUGAAGUUAGUAUUUCAAUAGUAAUAAAAUCAUCAUUAGAUAAAAAUGAGACCAAAACAAUCCAACCCACUUGAAAAAUACUAAAUAUAUCCCUAGAUAAAAUUACAAAAAAAAUGUAAAAGAUUAGCAGAAAUAUUAGAAAAUGUUUUAAUACAAAUAACAGAUAAGUAAUGGCUGUUAAAAAAAAAGCAUUAAAAAAUCAUGAAGAAAAUCAUGUGGUACUGUGUAGCACAGGGAACUCUGCUCAAUAUUCUAUAAUAACCUAGAUGAGAAAAGAAGCUGAAAAAGAGUGGAUAGUGGUAUAUGCAUAACUGAAUCAUUUUGAUGUACUCUUAAAAUUAAUACAACAUUGUAAAUCAAUUAUACUCCAAUAAAAUUUUUAAAAAGGAAAAACUCAAAUUUAUCUUUUAGAAAAUAGACAAAACAUGCAUGAAAAGACAGGUCCCAGAACAGAGCUCAAUAUAAACAAAGUGACAUGUAAAAAAAUGCCCCAAAUUUUAGGUAAUCAGAGAAAUACAAAUUUAAGUAAAAGUGGGAUAUCAUAUUAUGCUCAUCAGAUUGGCAAACAUGAAAGAGACCACAUUUGUUUGUAUCAGGGAUCUGAAUGUCUGUCUUAACAUACCAUGUCAGAAAUAUAAAUCAUUACAUCAUUUUGGGAAAGCAACUUGAUAACACCUUCUACAAUUAGAUCAUAUUAUAUAUAUAUACCAUAUAUCAUAAAAUCAAUCCCAUAAUGAUACAAAUAAUACUUAAAUUUACAUAUAUUUGUAUUUAUUGCUGCUUCAUAAUGUAAAGAGAAUAAGUAUAUUAUUAUUGAUUUAAAAAAAUCAUGAUUAAAAGAAUCUUAAUUCGGCCAUAAAAAGGACAGAUAAUGCCAUUUGCAGCAACAUGGACCUAGAGAUUAUCAUACUCUAGUCAAGUAAAUCAGACAAAGAAAAGCGCCAUGUUAUAACUUAAGUGUGGAAUCUAAAAAAAAAAGUGAUUAAAAAUGAACUUA